rnacentral:rRNA from 1 species
GGUGAGUAAUGCAUAGGAAUCUGCCCGAUAGUGGGGGAUAACCUGGGGAAACCCAGGCUAAUACCGCAUACGUCCUACGGGAGAAAGCAGGGGAUCUUCGGACCUUGCGCUAUCGGAUGAGCCUAUGUCGGAUUAGCUUGUUGGUGAGGUAAUGGCUCACCAAGGCGACGAUCCGUAGCUGGUCUGAGAGGAUGAUCAGCCACAUCGGGACUGAGACACGGCCCGAACUCCUACGGGAGGCAGCAGUGGGGAAUAUUGGACAAUGGGCGAAAGCCUGAUCCAGCCAUGCCGCGUGUGUGAAGAAGGCUUUCGGGUUGUAAAGCACUUUCAGUGAGGAAGAACGCCUUCGGCUUAAUACGCCGGAGGAAAGACAUCACUCACAGAAGAAGCACCGGCUAACUCCGUGCCAGCAGCCGCGGUAAUACGGAGGGUGCGAGCGUUAAUCGGAAUUACUGGGCGUAAAGCGCGCGUAGGUGGCUUGAUAAGCCGGUUGUGAAAGCCCCGGGCUCAACCUGGGAACGGCAUCCGGAACUGUCAGGCUAGAGUGCAGGAGAGGAAGGUAGAAUUCCCGGUGUAGCGGUGAAAUGCGUAGAGAUCGGGAGGAA